UCGGUUCCGGUUCACGUCCGAAUAAUCGGGCGACCCGGCGCC
rfam:Mycobacterium llatzerense strain CLTC14 Mllat_contig000033, whole genome shotgun sequence.